rnacentral:rRNA from 1 species
AGUCACUGACAUUAGACUACCCCCGUAGUCCCAGCCGUAAACUAUGCGCGUUAGGUGUAUCGGUGACCACGAGUCACCGAGGUGCCGAAGGGAAACCGUGAAACGUGCCGCCUGGGAAGUACGGUCGCAAGGCUGAAACUUAAAGGAAUUGGCGGGGAGCACCACAACGGGUGGAGCCUGCGGUUUAAUUGGACUCAACGCCGGGAAGCUCACCGGAUAAGACAGCGGAAUGAUUGCCGGGCUGAAGACUCUGCAUGACUAGCUG